AGGCCUACGGGGCGCAGCAGUGGGGAAUAUUGCACAAUGGGGGAAACCCUGAUGCAGCAACGCCGCGUGAAGGAAGACGGUUUUCGGAUUGUAAACUUCUGUUCUUAGUGAAGAAGAAUGACGGUAGCUAAGGAGCAAGCCACGGCUAACUACGUGCCAGCAGCCGCGGUAAUACGUAGGUGGCAAGCGUUGUCCGGAAUUACUGGGUGUAAAGGGAGCGCAGGCGGGAAGCCAAGUCAGCUGUGAAAACUACGGGCUUAACUUGUAGACUGCAGUUGAAACUGGUGUUCUUGAGUGAAGUAGAG
rnacentral:rRNA from 1 species